rnacentral:tRNA from 1 species
UCGGAUAUGGUGUAGUGGCUAACAUUAUCGCCUCUCAUCGUAAAGGUCACGUGCAUAUUCGCGAUAGCCCGGGGUUCGAUUCCCCGUAUCCGAA